rnacentral:rRNA from 1 species
GACGUACGCUGGCGGCGUGCUUAACCAAUGCACGAAAAACGGAAAGGCCCUGCUUUCGUGCUGUGCACGAGUGGCGAACGGGCGAGUAACACGUGAGUAACCUGCCCUUGACUUUGGGAUAAUUUUUGGAAACUAGGGCUAAUACCGGCUAGGAGAAUCUGCUGCAUGGUGGGGGUUGGAAAUAUGCGGCUGGUGGGGAUGGACUUGCGGCUUAUCAGCCUGUUGGUGGGGUAGUGGCUUACCAAGGCUUUGACGGGUAGCCGGUCUGCGGGGAGGACCGGCCUCAUUGGGUCUGAGAUACGGCCUAGACUCCUCCGGGAGGCAGCAGUGGGGUAUAUUGCACGAUGGGCGGAAGCCUGAUGCAGCAACGCCGCGUGCGGGAUAACGGCUUUCGGGUUGUAAACCGCUUUCGCCUGUGACGAAGCGUGAGUGACGGUAAUGGGUAAAGAAGCACCGGCUAACUACGUG